rnacentral:rRNA from 1 species
AUGCAGGCCCUCUUCGACCAGCCCGAGCUCUCCCUCUCCCUCUCCCUGGUCCCCGCCGCCGCGCCGGCGCUCAACAAGGACGACUACCUCGCCAUCUGCCUCGCCGCGCUCGCCAAAAGCGGGCAGCAGGCGCAGAUGAUGGAGGGGCAAGCGAGAGCGUGGCGCCCGGCCCCCGCGCCGGCGCAGGAGCUGCGAUUCAGCUGCGCGGUCUGCGGGAAGGCGUUCGCGUCGUACCAGGCGCUCGGCGGGCACAAGUCCAGCCACCGCAAGCCGCCGCCCACCGGAGAGCGGUGCGUCGUUGCGCAGGCGUCCGCGGGUGCUGGGUCGGAGGCGAGCGCGGCGGCGUCCUCGGGCGGGAGCAGCGGCGGGCCGCACCAGUGCACCGUCUGCGGGCGGGGCUUCGCGACCGGGCAGGCGCUCGGAGGGCACAAGCGGUGCCACUACUGGGACGGCACCUCCGUGUCCAUGUCCGUGUCCGUCUCCGUGUCGGCGUCGUCGUCCGCCGUGCUGAGGAACUUCGACCUGAACCUGCUGCCGAUGCCGGAGAACGCCGGGUUGAAGAGGUGGGCCGAGGAGGAGGAGGUGCAGAGCCCUCUCCCCGCCAAGAAGCUGAGGCUUUUGCUGUAA